UACGUAGGGGGCUAGCGUUGCUCGGAAUCACUGGGCGUAAAGCGCACGUAGGCGGACUCUUAAGUCGGUGGUGAAAUCCUGGAACUCAACUCCAGAACUGCCUUCGAUACUGAGAGUCUUGAGUCCGGGAGAGGUGAGUGGAGCUGCGAGUGUAGAGGUGAAAUUCGUAGAUAUUCGCAAGAACACCAGUGGCGAAGGCGGCUCACUGGACCGGCAUUGACGCUGAGGUGCGAAAGCGUGGGGAGCAAACAGG
rnacentral:rRNA from 1 species